rnacentral:rRNA from 1 species
UAGCGGUGAAAUGCGCAGAUAUCAGGAAGAACACCGAUGGCGAAGGCAGGUCUCCGGCGCUGUUACUGACGCUGAGGAGCGAAAGCAUGGGGAGCGAACAGGAUUAGAUACCCUGGUAGUCCAUGCCGUACACGUUGGGCACUAGGUGUGGGGGAACAUUCCACGUUUUCCGCGCCGUAGCUAACGCAUUAAGUUGCCCCGCCUGGGGAGGUACGGCCGCAAGGCUAAAAACUCAAAGGAAAUUGACGGGGGGCCCGCACAAGCGGCGGAGCAUGCGGAUUAAUUCGAUGCAACGCGAAGAACCUUACCAAGGCUUGACAUACACCGGAUCGGCUCAGAGAUGAGUUUUCCUCCUUGUGGGGCUGGUGUACAGGUGGUGCAUGGUUGUCGUCAGCUCGUGUCGUGAGAUGUUGGGUUAAGUCCCGCAACGAGCGCAACCCUCGUUCUAUGUUGCCAGCACGUGAUGGUGGGGACUCAUAGGAGACUGCCGGGGUCAACUCGGAGGAAGGUGGGGAUGACGUCAAAUCAUCAUGCCCCUUAUGUCUUGGGCUUCACGCAUGCUACAAUGGCCAGUACAAUGGGUUGCGAUGCCGUGAGGUGGAGCUAAUCCCAAAAAGCUGGUCUCAGUUCGGAUCGUGGUCUGCAACUCGACCACGUGAAGUCGGAGUC